UAUGACCAUUUCAUGUUGAAACAUCGGUUUCCAUAUGAUCACCAGAGUUAAGCAACAUCAAGCCUGGCCAGUACCUAGAUUGGGUGACCACUUGGGAAUACUAGGUGCUGUAAG